CCGGCUAACUCCGUGCCAGCAGCCGCGGAAUACGGAGGGUGCGAGCGUUAAUCGGAAUUACUGGGCGUAAAGACGCAUGCAGGUGGUUUGUUAAGUUCAGAUGUGAAAGACCCGGGCGUCAACCUCGGAACUGCAUUUGAAACUAGGCAGGCUAGAGUACUGUAGAGGGGGUAGGAAGUUUCAGGUGUAGCGGUGAAAUGCGUAGAGAUCUGAAGGAAUACCGGUGGCGAAGGCGGCCCCCUCGGACAGAUACUGACACUCAGAUGCGAAAGCGUGGGGAGCAAACAGGAUUAGAUACCCCUGGUAG
rnacentral:rRNA from 1 species